GACGAACGCUGGCGGCGUGCUUAACACAUGCAAGUCGAACGAGAUCCAAUGUGUAGCAAUACACAGGAAGAUCUAGUGGCGAACGGGUGAGGAACACGUGAGAAACGUACCCCAGACUUUGGGAUAACAGUCCGAAAGGACUGCUAAUACCAAAUAACGUCGGAAGUCCGCAUGGACAUCUGACGAAAGGGAUUCCGGUUUGGGAGCGUCUCGCGGACCUAUCAGCUAGUUGGAGGGGUAACGGCCCACCAAGGCAACGACGGGUAGCUGGUCUGAGAGGAUGGUCAGCCACACUGGGACUGAGACACGGCCCAGACUCCUACGGGAGGCAGUAGUGGGGAAUCUUGCGCAAUGGGCGAAAGCCUGACGCAGCAACGCCGCGUGCGGGAAGAAGGCUUUCGGGCUGUAAACCGCUUUCAGUAGGAACGAAACUGACGGUACCUACAGAAGAAGGAGCGGCCAACUAUGUG
rnacentral:rRNA from 1 species